rnacentral:tRNA from 1 species
UCCGGUAUGGUGUAGUGGCUAACAUUUGACGCUCUCACUUCUCUGAAGCUGAAGCACCGUCAAGCCCAGGGUUCGAUUCCCUGUACCGGAG